GAAAGUCUCAGCAGUCAAAGAAGGGAGUCGGGGCUGCGCCUGCGCACUGCGGCCGCUACCCACCCCCUUCCUUACCAGGAAAAGUCCAAGAACCACGACUGUGAGCCGCCCAGGAGCAAGAAAGUGCCCAGAGGACUCAUUCUAAACCCCUGGAGCCCUAACAAUCCCACCUCCCAGCCAUUGCCCAGGGAGCCACCCCUCAGACUAGACUCCCCUACAAUUGGAGAUUGAGUCUACUGGAAAAGAAGCCUGUACCCCGACACUGCAGCCAGAUGGGAAGGACUUCACCAAGUCUCAGAAGGCUCCAAACAUGGCCAAGUGCCCUCUUUCCUUUUCUUACACUGUCCAUCUAAUUUUCCUCAGCACAUUGUUAUAUUUAAAAUUAAUAUAUCUACUAGUUAUUAUUUUAUAAAGUUUAUUAAUAGAAAUGAUAGAUAAGAUUUAAAAUCUGUUCCUUAUUCUAAGUCUUAACCACGUGUCCUAACCUGCAAUAAUCUUUCUCUCUCCCCCACCUGUCUGCUCCAGCCCCAAGUCCCAAAGACUCAAGUUGGCUCUGCCCGCUUUCUUUUACUGACAUUCAUGGACUUUCAUGUUACUCUGGUUUGUGAAGAAUGUGGAUCAACCAGUUGGCCCUCCAGGAGCGGGAGGGAAUGAACUUCCCUCGACACAUGUUCUGAGGCCACCUAGAAAAUGUAGCCUUCCACUUUUUUCUUUGGGGACUGUCUCACCCCAAGGUUUCUUUUGGCACCCCUGGAAGCGAGGUCCCUUCAUAAGGUGGGCAAACACGUCAAUGAUAAUCUACAACUGAAAGCCAAUCCUGCUUCCUAGCUGUAGCCAGCUGUGACAUUCCUGACCACCCAGAACUCCCCCUUUGCCACCUCUCUGGAAAGAGGGCUCUUCCUGGCCCUUCACAGACAAGCCAGCUUAGCUGAGGAGGCCAGUGUGGCCCUCUGGACUAACAGCUCUCCCAGUCACUGAUAAUAAAUUGUCUUGCUCAGAGAA